GGCCUGCUAGCUCAGUCGGUUAAAGCGUCGUGCUAAUAACGCGAAGGUCGUAGGUUCGAUCCCUGCGCAGGCCA
rfam:Ixodes scapularis strain Wikel colony gcontig_1108378997396, whole genome shotgun sequence.